rnacentral:rRNA from 1 species
UACAGAGGUCUCAAGCGUUGUUCGGAUUCAUUGGGCGUAAAGGGUGCGUAGGCGGCGCGGUAAGUCGGGUGUGAAAUCUCGGAGCUUAACUCCGAAACUGCAUUCGAUACUGCCGUGCUUGAGGACUGGAGAGGAGACUGGAAUUUACGGUGUAGCGGUGAAAUGCGUAGAUAUCGUAAGGAAGACCAGUGGCGAAGGCGGGGUCUCUGGACAGUUCCUGACGCUGAGGCACGAAGGCCAGGGGGAGCAAACAGG